GGCCCCCAGGCCUGCGUUCAGUGAGGCCUCCCGUGGCGUCAGCAUGUUCGUGUGGAGGAAUGUGGAAGUUCACUCUGUGGCCAUGUUCCCCUGGUACUCCAUCCCCUUCCUGACCCCUCCCUGCAGCCACACGAGGCCCAGCAACCUGCCAGUCACUCAGUGGCCUCCAACCAGAGAAAACAACCUGCCAAGUUGGCAGCUGUUGCUCAUGAGUGUCCACCAGGUGGGACAGGGAGCGUUGACCCUGGGCGGCCCCCUGGAGCCACCUGCCCUGAAAGCCCAGGGCCCGCAACCCCACACACUUUGGGGGUGGUGGAACCUGGUAAAAGCUCACCUCCCACCAUGGAGGAGGAGCCCUGGGCCCCUCAGGGGAGUCCCUGCUGGACAGUGACACAGAGAAUGACCAUGAUGAUGCUUUCCUCUCCAUCAUGUCUCCUGACACCCAGUUGCCUCUACCGCUCAGAUGAUGUCAGGCCCAGUCCCUCAUUGCCCCGCGCAAGGAACAGGACUCAUCUUCUGAGAAGGAUGGACGCAGCCCCAACAAAUGGGACAAGGACCACAUCUGGUGGCCCAUGAGUGGCGGUCAUGAUCUUGAGCAAGCGGCACCAGGCCCUGGCAGGGCGCACCAGGGUCACCCCAACCAGGAUAACCGGACCAUCAGCCAGAUGCUGAGCGAGCGGUGGUACAUCCUGGGGCCCAAUGAGACACAGAAAUACCAUGACCUGGCCUUCCAGGUGAAGGUGGCCCACUUGCAACAAGGACCGAAAGAAGUCCAGCUCAGAGGCCAAGCCCACAAGCCAGGGGCUAGCAGGAGUGUAACAAGGGCUCGUGGGAGCGGAGCAUAUCAGAGACAGGCACUGCCACUGCCCCUGGGGUGUCCUCUGAACUCCUGUCAGUUGCAGCCCAAACACUCCAGAGCUCAGAUACCAAGGAGCAGCUUCUGUGGGGCAGAACGGCUGCACACAGUCAGGAAACCUGGCUCAGCCUGGCCCAAGCCUUCUCCCACAGCGGGGUACACAGCCUGGAAGGCAGGGAAAUAGACCGUCAGGCACUACGGGAACUGACACAGGUAGUGUCUGGCACUGCAUCAUACUCUGGCCCAAAGCCUUCUACUCAGUAUGGAGCUCCAGGCCACUUUGCAGCCCCUGGUGAGGGAGGUGACCAGUGGGCAGCCCUGCUGCUGCCCACCUGAGCUGCUCAUUCCCAGCACAUGGCCAGUGAGGACAUAGCGAGUGACGAGGAGCACACGGUCAUCCAUGAGGAGGAGGGGGUGAUGAUGUCAUUGCUGAUGAUGGCUUUAGCACCACUGACACCGAUCUCAAGUUCAAGGAGUGGGUGACCGACUGAGAGUGGGGACAACUCUGGGGAGGAGCCAGAGGGCAACAAGGGCUUUGGUGGGAAGGUAUUUGCACCUGUCAUUCCUUCCUCCUUUACUCCUGCCGCCCCCUUGCUAGAUCCUGAGCCCCCAGGGUCCCCCGAUCCACCAGCAGCUUUUGGCAAAGUCUAUGGUCCCACCCUGUCCUCCUCCUACACAUACUCGGAUGCUUCCCCCUCAACCUUGGCACCCACCUCCUUCUUACUGGGCCCAGGAGCCUUCAAAGCCCAGGAGUCUGGUCAAGACAGCAGAGCGGGCCCCCUAUGACCCCUACCCCUGGGGAUGGGGGCCCAGGGACGCCUUCCAAGGUGACCUGUUUCCUCCCAAUGGAUCCUGCCACCUUCUGGUGCAAGAGACCAGAAAGUGUGGGCGACCUGGAGCUACCAGGACCCCACCACGCCCAAAUGCAAGAUGAGAAGAUGCUCCAGCUGCAGUCCAAAGCCCAACACCCCCAAGUGUUCCAUGUGUGAUGGGGACAGCUUCCCCUUUGCCUGUACAGGUGGAGAAGCCGAGGACAGGCUCAGGGAACCGGAGACCGAGAAGGCGCUGUCCUCUUCACUGCACGUGCCCUGGACCAGUGCCGGCCCUGAUCAUGCAGCUCUUCCAGGCCCACUGCUUCUUCCUGUCCACUAGGCCACAGCCACCCUCCAGGCCCACUAUGCACACAUCUUCCCCUCCAAGCCCUGCCUGACCCCACCUCAAUCUGCUCAGGCUCUGGCGCAACCCUGGCUGCCCUGCCACUGCCUCUGCCCCAGAGUUGGGGCCUUGACAGCCUGGUUGGAAGGGGACACCCCAGCCCUGCCUCAACACCUGGGGGUCUCCAUAACUACCACAGGCAGG
rnacentral:lncRNA from 1 species